AGAUUGGCAUAUCAGUAGUUACGACGUAACUGAAGAACUGGGAAUUGUCCACAAAAUAGUUAUGGCGCAUUUGAAAAAAACUGGGUACACAAAAAAGCUCACUGAAAGAAACCUAAUGAACCGUGUACUCAUUGGUGAUUCUUUAUUACGACGUAAUGAAACCGAACCAUUUUUGAAGAAGCUGAUAACUAAAUUAAAUUAAAUUAAACUAAAUCGGUCACAAACCAAACAAAACGUUCGGCGCUCAUUCAGAACUAAAAUCCAAUAUCCCGCAUUUCUGCUCGAUGUCGUCAUAGCGAUCUCUCAACUUAAAUAAUGAUGUGAUUGACAUUUUAAAUGUUUCGUCAGUGUACGAUUUUGGGGGAUACGUGGACGAAUUGACUCAUCUAUUUGGGAGCUACAAAAUAUACAGACAGACACACAAACAAAUCACUGUUGCCAAAUCUCACCCGUCCUGGUUGGGCCCUUGCUCGCCCGCCUGUCCUGGUGAAACUGGAAAGGCCUCCGGCCCACAAGUAGUAACUUAAUAAAAAAAAAAAAAAGCAGGCAUGGACAUUCAUUACGGAUCACAUGAUACACAUAAAUUCGUCGUCAGUCAAUCGCAACCUAAUGUACAAGUAAUAGGUUUUACGUGUGAGUUAAACUUAAACAAGGGAACUCAGAUGAGUCGUCACACGUGAAGAUGUGUGGGAGAGUAUAAUUAGUGUUACUGCUUCAAACUUGUCUGUACGCUUUGUGACACGAAGUUCCACCUGCAUUUAGAUUAAUUCAAUUAAUGUACUCAGAGAAUAAUUUAAAUUGAGUUCGUUUUGA